rnacentral:rRNA from 1 species
AAGCUCAAAUUUGAAAUCUGGCAGUCUUUUUUUUCUUCUUUGGCUGUCCGAGUUGUAAUCUAGAGAAGUGCUUACCUGCACUGGACCAUGUAUAAGUCUCCUGGAAUGGAGCGUCACAGAGGGUGAGAAUCCCGUCUUUGACAUGGACCGCCAGUGUGUUGUGGUGUGCUCUCAAAGAGUCGAGUUGUUUGGGAAUGCAGCUCUAAAUGGGUGGUAAACUCCAUCUAAAGCUAAAUAUUGGCGAGAGACCGAUAGUGAACAAGUACCGUGAGGGAAAGAUGAAAAGGACUUUGGAAAGAGAGUUAAACAGUAUGUGAAAUUGUUGAAAGGGAAACGCUUGAAGUCAGUUAUGUUGGCUAGGGAUCAACCUAGCUGUUUUUUUGCUGGGUGAAUUUCCUAGUCUGACAGGCCAACAUCAGUCUUGACUGCUGGAAAAGAGCAGAGGGAAUGUGGCACCUUUGGGUGUGUUAUAGCCUUUUGUCAUAUGUGGCAGUUGGGACUGAGGGAUGCAGCAUGCCGCGAGGCUGGGUUUCUGACCACGUUCAUGCUCAGGAUGUUGGC